GCUCCGUAGUGUAGUAGUUAUCACGUUCGCUUCAAACGCGAAAGGUCUCCGGAUCUAGUCCGGACAGAACCA